rnacentral:rRNA from 1 species
CAGCCGCCACGGUAAUACGUAGGUGGCAAGCGUUGUCCGGAUUUAUUGGGCGUAAAGCGAGCGCAGGCGGUUUCUUAAGUCUGAUGUGAAAGCCCCCGGCUCAACCGGGGAGGGUCAUUGGAAACUGGGAAACUUGAGUGCAGAAGAGGAGAGUGGAAUUCCAUGUGUAGCGGUGAAAUGCGUAGAUAUAUGGAGGAACACCAGUGGCGAAGGCGGCUCUCUGGUCUGUAACUGACGCUGAGGCUCGAAAGCGUGGGGAGCAAACAGGAUUAGAUACCCCGGUAGUCCCUGUCUCUUAUAC